UGUAGUCAUAUGCUUGUCUCAAAGAUUAAGCCAUGCAUGUCUAAGUAUAAGCGCCUUAUACUGUGAAACUGCGAAUGGCUCAUUAUAUCAGUAAUAGUUUAUUUGAUGGUCCCUUACUACCUGGAUACCCGUAGUAAUUCUAGAGCUAAUACAUGCACUACGGUCCCAACUGCACCCUCGGGUGCGGGCGGGAUGCCUUUAUUAGAUUGAAACCAAUGCGGCGCAAGCCGGUGUUGUGGUGACUCAUGAUAACCUAGCGAAUCGCAUGCCCCUCGUGGGCGGCGAUGUUUCAUUCAAGUUUCUGCCCUAUCAGCUUCGGAUGGUAGGGUAUUGGCCUACCAUGGCUUUAACGGGUAACGGGGAAUUGGGGUUCGAUUCCGGAGAGGGAGCCUGAGAGACGGCUACCAUAUCCAAGGAAGGCAGCAGGCGCGUAAAUUACCCAAUCCUGACUCAGGGAGGUAGUGACAAUAAAUAACAAUGCCGGGCUCUCGUAGUCUGGCAAUUGGAAUGAGAACAAUUUAAAUCCCUUAUCGAGGAUCAAUUGGAGGGCAAGUCUGGUAAUCGAAUUCCCCGCGCCGCC
rnacentral:rRNA from 1 species